CGGAAUGAAAGAAUGAACGAAUUAUUAGUGAAGUUAUUAAUAAAGAAAUUAAAGAGAAUGAAGUGAAUAGGAAGCGUAAAGUAUAAAGUGAAAGCCACGACCAGCAUAAUGUAAUAAUAUAGGGUAAAGCAACGCAGUGUAAUAUAAUGCAAUGUAAUAUAAUAUAAUGUAAAACAAAUGAUAUAUAAUAAAAUAAAGUAGAAUAUAAAAUACAAGAAGUGGACUCAAAAUAUAACCGUAAAGCUUAUUAACUAAAUACUCUAUUUCUUUACCAAAGUAAAUUAUAUGUUAAAUGGUAAAUGGUGGAUGAUAAGUGAUCAUGUCAAUGCAAAUGUAAAUAAUACCAAUUAUUUCAUGACAUUUCAAAAUAAGGAAAUAAACAACACGUAAAUAAAUCAAAUCAAAUGUAAACUGUGUAAUUCAGUUAAACACUAUGCUACUGCAUAGUGUAAGAAUAAAUCAAUCAAUCAAUCAAUAAGUAAAGUAUUUUAAACUAAUAUUUAAAAUGGUGAAAUUAAACAGAACCCGCGCAGCAUGAAAGCAUUUGAAUAGACAAAACCACUCAUCAUCACAGAAGAAUAGCAAAAUUAAUUAAGAUAAAUCAAAUCAAAUCACCAACUUCAACUGAUCAGAAUGAAUAAAUGAAUGAAUAACGAAUAAUGAAUAAGUGAAUGAAUGAAUGAAUGAAUAAAUCAAGGAAGAGAGAAACAGCAGAAUACCAGCAAGUACGAGUAAGCAACCCCUAAUGUGCCAAAGCCACGGUGUCAAAACUAGCAUGCAAGGACUAGUUAAAAGGAACGACAUUGAAUAAGAGAACUGAAUUGCAACUGAAAAGGAAAAGAAAAGAAAGGAAACAAGAAACAGCCCACCAUCAUGGAAGAGCAACAUUAUGACCAGAGAGAGACGUCAUGAAUAAAUUGAAUUAAAGAAUAUCAAAAGAACAUCAAAAUGUCCAAUGAAUAUCAAGAAUGCACAGGCAAAUCAAGAACCAAAUCAAGAAGCGAUAAUGAAAUAAAAUGAAUAUCAAUAACAGCGAUAACGUGUCAUAAUAAACUGGAAUAUAUAAAUAUAAAUAUACUAAAAUAUAAAAUAUAGAAUAAAGAAUAACCAUAUGGAAACAAAUCAUAAAUAUAUUAAUACAAUCUACAGAGCUUUGUACCAUCAUGAGUUAAAAUAAACUAAAUCAUAAUAAUUACUUUAAUUCAAUUCAAUUCAGUUCAGAAUGAAUGGCAGUGAUAGAAUGAAAGAAUGAACAACUGAAACAAUGAAGUAAUUAAUUAAAGAUACUAAUGAAUGAGUUAAAUAAGGUAAAUAGUUAUAAGUCAUAAAGUAUAAAGUGAAGGUAGUAACCAACAUAAUGUAAAUAAUGUAAUAUCACGUAAUAUAAUGUAAAACAUAAUGAAUUAUACUAAAAUAGAAUACAAAAUAAAAUACAAGAAGUGAAUAAAAUAUAAUACAACCGUACAGAUUAUUAGCUACAAUACUUUAUUUCUUUCCCAAAAUAGCCCAUAAGUUAAAUUAUAAAUUAUAAAUGGCAAACGAUAAACGAUGAAUGAUUAUGUCAAUGCAAAUGCAAAUAGGACUUACUAUUAAAUGUUGUAUCAAAAUAAAAUAACUGAAGCGACAAUAAUCAAAUCAAAUAUAAAGUACGCAGUUCAAUAAACACUGCACCAGUAUAUAGACUGAAUAAAUAAUUAAAUAAAUGAGUAAAUAAAUAAGGAUACUUAAAUAACAAGGUUAUAAUAAACCACGCACAAUCAAAGCAUUUGAAUUGACAAAACCACCCAUCAUCACAGAGAGAGCAAAACCAAAGUAAAAUAAAAGUAAAAUAAAUGUAAAAUAAAUCAUAUUCAUUAACUUUAAUUGAUCAGAAUGAAUGAGUGAAUGAAUAAUGAAUGAAUGAAUAUAUGGAACCAUUAAGAAAGUAAGAUUAAGAAAGCUAAAGGUUAAGGAAAAUAAAGAAGGUAAGACAUGAGUGAAAACAAGAAGCAGGAAUGUAUCAGAACGAAUGAACAAUGAUAGAAUGAAAGAAUGAACGACUGAACAGUGAAGUAAUCAAUUAAAGAUAUCAAAGAAGAAUGAGGUAAAUUAUAGAGUAAAUAAUAAGGCAUAAAAUAUAAAGUGAA